AGCCAGCUGAUAAGUCCCAAAUGAGACGAAACGCGCUUUCUGGAU
rnacentral:hammerhead_ribozyme from 1 species